rnacentral:miRNA from 1 species
CAUGGGGGGGUGACGGCCC